CACGAAGCUAUUGUCAUGGAAAUGGACCUCUUUCUUCACUGUGUGAUCCCAAACUUCAUUGAAAGCCAAGACUUCUUGGAAGAACUUCAGAAGGAACGUUUGAACGUGGACUUUCACAAAAAAUACAAUGAUUUAUAUAGGUUCCAACAGUCUAAUGAUUUGAAGAAGAGAAGAGAGCCUGAUCUCUGCUUUAAGGAAAAUUCUGUUUGAAGAUUUCUGAGCCUGGCUUUUUGACAUUUCUAAAAUUGACCUAGAAUCAACUAUUGACAUGUCCUGUGCUAAAUAUGAAUUCACUGAUGCCCUACUUUGCCAUGAUGAUGAGCUGGGAGGGUGCCAGAUUGCCUUAAUUUUGUACCUGGGGAUAAGAGUUUUGGGGGCACCCUGGAUCUCUACACCAUUGAUGAACACUUUCAGCUGAAGCACAUCAUCAAGUCUCUUAUACCUUCAUGGAACAAACUGGUCUUCUUCAAACUGGUGUCUGAAGUCCUAUCUGAAGAGAAGUCGCAUUUGUCUCUAAGUGGCUGAUUUCAUGGUUCUUCACAGAUCAGGCCUCCCAACUACUUUGAACCCCUCAUACCUUGGAACCUUCACAUCCCAAAAGAUCACAAAAUUUCAUAUGGUGGGUCAACUCUACUUAUCUAGACAUGAAUCAUCAAGGUCAAAUUCAAGAAGAGUUUGAAGAAAGUUCUGAAAUUCUCUUGAAGGAGUUUCUUAAGCCUGAGAAUUUGCAAAGGUCUGUGAGGCCCUGGAGAAAUGACAUGUGGAAUGGAGCAGCCAAGGUCCCCCUAAUAAAAGGUUUUAUGAGAAAGCUGAAGAGAGUAAGCUUCCCAAUAUACUGAAAGACUGCAUGGAGUUAUUUUGCUUUGAGGCACUGUUCUUGCUGCUCUCCAACUUCACAGGCCUGAAGCUUCACUUCUUGGCCCCUUCAGAAGAAGAUGAGACUGAUGACAAAAAAGAGGAAAGAGCAGCCUCUGCUGCUGAUUGUACUGAAGAAGGGACUAGCCAUAACUCCUCUGAGCCAGAGAAUAAGCAUGCAGCCAUCAGCAACAAGAGCCAAUAGACAGGCCCAGAGCCAGAGGAAAAUGAAACAAAGAAAGAAUUAAGUGUUCCCACAUGCUAAGGAGAAUUGAGGCAUUGAAAGACAGGCCACUACACUUUAAUCCAUGACAAUAGCAAGGCUGAAUUUUCCCUGGACUUAGUUCUUUACUGUGGAUGUGAUGGCUGGGAGCCAGAGUAUGGUGGCUUUACUUCCUACAUUGCUAAAAGUGAAGAUGUAGAACUGCUAACAGUGAAUCCAGAAAACAAUUCUUUGGCAUUGGUGUACAGAGAUAGAGAGACUCUGAAAUUUGUCAAAUCUUUUUUUUUUUUUUUUUUGCAGCAUAUUAACCACUGAAGUCUAGAACAAAAGAAAACCUUCCCAAACAGAACAGGUUUCUGGGACUUUUCAUUAGUCUAUUAUGAAUGA